CGCGGCCUAUCAGCUUGUUGGUGAGGUAACGGCUCACCAAGGCAUCGACGGGUAGCUGGUCUGAGAGGACGAUCAGCCACACUGGGACUGAGACACGGCCCAGACUCCUGCGGGAGGCAGCAGUGGGGAAUCUUGCGCAAUGGGCGAAAGCCUGACGCAGCAACGCCGCGUGGGGGAUGAAGGCUCUCGGGUUGUAAACCCCUUUCAGCAGGGACGAAAUUGACGGUACCUGCAGAAGAAGCCCCGGCCAACUACGUGCCAGCAGCCGCGGUAACACGUAGGGGGCGAGCGUUGUCCGGAAUUAUUGGGCGUAAAGAGCUCGUAGGCGGUUUAGUAAGUCAGAUGUGAAAGGUUGGGGCUCAACCCUAAGACUGCAUCCGAUACUGCUAUGACUAGAGUCCGGUAGAGGAGUGUGGAAUUCCUGGUGUAGCGGUGAAAUGCGCAGAUAUCAGGAGGAACACCGACGGCGAAGGCAGCACUCUGGGCCGGUACUGACGCUGAGGAGCAAAAGCGUGGGUAGCAAACAGGAUUAGAUACCCUGGUAGUCCACGCCGUAAACGUUGGGCACUAGGUGUGGGGCCUUAUCAACGGGUUCCGUGCCGUAGCUAACGCAUUAAGUGCCCCGCCUGGGGAGUACGG
rnacentral:rRNA from 1 species